rnacentral:rRNA from 1 species
UACGAAGGUCCCAAGCGUUAUCCGGAUUUAUUGGGUUUAAAGGGUGCGUAGGCGGAUUAUUAAGUCAGUGGUGAAAUCCUUCAGCUUAACUGAAGAACUGCCAUUGAUACUGAUGAUCUUGAGUUUGGUUGAGGUGGGCGGAAUGUGUCAUGUAGCGGUGAAAUGCUUAGAUAUGACACAGAACACCGAUUGCGAAGGCAGCUCACUGAGCCAAUACUGACGCUGAUGCACGAAAGCGUGGGGAGCAAACAGG